ensembl:misc_RNA Metazoa_SRP Metazoan signal recognition particle RNA
GUUGGGCGUGGUGGUGCACGCCUGUAAUCCCAGUUACUUGGGAGGCUGAGGCAGGAGCAUCACUUGAACCCGGGAGGCAGAGGUUGCAGUGAGCCAAGAUGGCACCACUGUACUCCAGCCUGGGUGACAGAGUGAGACUCCGUCUCAA